rnacentral:rRNA from 1 species
GAUGAACUCUGGCGGCGUGCCUAAUACAUGCAAGUCGAGCGAACAGACGAGGAGCUUGCUCCUCUGACGUUAGCGGCGGACGGGUGAGUAACACGUGGAUAACCUACCUAUAAGACUGGGAUAACUUCGGGAAACCGGAGCUAAUACCGGAUAACAUGUUGAACCGCAUGGUUCAACAGUGAAAGACGGUCUUGCUGUCACUUAUAGAUGGAUCCGCGCCGCAUUAGCUAGUUGGUAAGGUAACGGCUUACCAAGGCAACGAUGCGUAGCCGACCUGAGAGGGUGUUCGGCCACACUGGAACUGAGACACGGUCCAGACUCCUACGGGAGGCAGCAGUAGGGAAUCUUCCGCAAUGGGCGAAAGCCUGACGGAGCAACGCCGCGUGAGUGAAGAAGGUCUUCGGAUCGUAAAACUCUGUUAUUAGGGAAGAACAAAUGUGUAAGUAACUAUGCACGUCUUGACGGUACCUAAUCAGAAAGCCACGGCUAACUACGUG